AGAUUGAACGCUGGCGGCAUGCCUUACACAUGCAAGUCGAACGGCAGCACGGGAGCAAUCCUGGUGGCGAGUGGCGAACGGGUGAGUAAUACAUCGGAACGUGCCCAAUCGUGGGGGAUAACGCAGCGAAAGCUGUGCUAAUACCGCAUAAGAUCUACGGAUGAAAGCAGGGGAUCGCAAGACCUUGCGCGAAUGGAGCGGCCGAUGGCAGAUUAGGUAGUUGGUGAGGUAAAGGCUCACCAAGCCUUCGAUCUGUAGCUGGUCUGAGAGGACGACCAGCCACACUGGGACUGAGACACGGCCCAGACUCCUACGGGAGGCAGCAGUGGGAAUUUGGACAAUGGGCGAAAGCCUGAUCCAGCCAUGCCGCGUGCAGGAUGAGGCGUUCGGUUGUAACGUGUCUUUGUACGGUAACGUAAAAGUUACUUUACUAAUAAAGUAAGGACUACAAUAGACGGUAACCGUAAGAAUAAGACGAACCG
rnacentral:rRNA from 1 species